UACGAAGGGGGCUAGCGUUGCUCGGAAUUACUGGGCGUAAAGGGCGCGUAGGCGGACAGUUUAGUCAGAGGUGAAAGCCCAGGGCUCAACCUUGGAAUAGCCUUUGAUACUGACUGUCUUGAGUUCGGGAGAGGUGAGUGGAAUGCCGAGUGUAGAGGUGAAAUUCGUAGAUAUUGGAAGAACACCAGUGGCGAAGGCGACUCACUGGCCCGAUACUGACGCUGAG
rnacentral:rRNA from 1 species